UGACGUUGUUGAAAUACAAGGAAAUGCGCACAUGACAAGGGGAAAUGAAAGUGAGGAGAACCAAACGGAUGAAAAGUGUGACGAAAAAUCUGGAGUUUUGCUGCUGCUGCUUGGAAAAGCCAACCCAGAAAUGGAGCAUAGCUACAAAGAGCUCCAGUUUCUAACUGAAGCCGUUAACGAUUGAACUACUGGCCAAAACUUGUGAUAAUUCAAGGUUCUUUGGAAACUGUGGCAGGUUUCUGCAAGCCUCAGACUGCAAAGCCACACAGUGUGACCCUGUUUGGGGCAGACACGUCCGCUUUGCCUCUGCUGGACGCUCCGUUGCAGAUGUCUGCUCAGCAGAGUAGAACCUUGUGGAACAAGUCCAAGGCCUGGUACACGAGGAACUACAUGGAGUGGGACGGAGUUUGGCUCCUCACAUUAGAAUUAAUGAUUUGAAGACACAUAGUCGGUGAAUAAUUGAUUCCAGCCCCCAGGAUGGUUAGGAGCUGAGUAAAAGACUAAUAAAUCAUUUGUGGUGCUGCCA